rnacentral:rRNA from 1 species
UUCUUGGUCAUUUAGGRGAAGUAAAAGUCGUAACAAGGUUUCCGUAGGUGAACCUGCGGAAGGAUCAUUAUCGUAUAACAGAGGUGCAAAGGCUGUCGCUGACUCUCAGUCGUGCACGCCCGAGUGCUCUCAAACAUUAUACAUCCAUCUCACCCCUUUUGUGCACCACCGCGUGAGCCCUCCUCCUCCACCGAAAGGAAAAGGCGGUCGAGCUUGCGUUUUUAAUACAAAUACUUUUUGACCCUGUGUAGAAUGUAUCAUACGUUUGCUAUCACACGCAACGAAAUAUAUAACUUUCAACAACGGAUCUCUUGGCUCUCGCAUCGAUGAAGAACGCAGCGAAAUGCGAUACGUAAUGUGAAUUGCAGAAUUCAGUGAAUCAUCGAAUCUUUGAACGCACCUUGCGCCCCUUGGCAUUCCGAGGGGCACACCCGUUUGAGUGUCGUGAAUUUCUCAAAUCCCUUUCUCUUUUGAAAGGGUUUUGGACUUGGAGGUUCAAUGCUGGCCUUCACUUUUGAAGGCAAGCUCCUCUCAAAUGUAUUAGCGAGGUCUGUGUGACUCGAUCCUCGACGUGAUAAGACCCUUUUACGUUUCGGAUUUGGUUCCAUCUCGCUUCUAACAGUCUUUAACGGACGACGAUGGUGUUCCGGUCACCGCCCUUUCAUUGGCGGGAGGCUUGACCCACAAACAAAAAAAAACCUUGACCUCAAAUCGGG